rnacentral:lncRNA from 1 species
GAAUUUUCGUUCCCGAAAAUCUUACCAGAAAAUAAAUUAGGGUAUUUCUUUCUCAUAGUUUCCUCGGGUUCCCAAGUAGCCUCCUCAAUCCCGUGACUUGCCAAAGAACCUUCACUAAGGCUAUUCUCUUAUUUCUUAACUCUUUAAUCACUCGAGCCAAAAUUCUGAUCAGUUUUUCAUUAUAUGACAUGUCGGGCUAAAUUUCAACCUCUACUAGAGAAAUUAAAUACAAAGGGUCUGAUCGGUACCAUCGUAACAUAGAUACAUGAAAUAGAUUAUGAAUCUUUUCUACUCUGACGGUAAAGCUAGUAGACAUGCCACCGA